rnacentral:tRNA from 1 species
AAACGAUAAAUAGAUAUUUACUAUGUUUGGUUACGGACCAAAAAGAUAUUCGUUUU